AUUGAACGCUGGCGGCAUGCUUUACACAUGCAAGUCGGACGAGUGGCGGACGGGUGAGUAACAUAUCGGAAAGUACCGCGUAAUGGGGGAUAACUAAUGGAAAGAUUAGCUAAUACCGCAUAUUAUUCGAGGGGCCGAUAUCUGAUUAGAUGGUUGGUGGGGUAAAGGCCUACCAAGGCGACGAUCACGAGCGGGUCUGAGAGGAUGAUCCGCCACACUGGGACUGUGACACGGCCCAGACGCCUACGGGAGGCAGCAGUGGGGAAUUUUGGACAAUGGGCGCAAGCCUGAUGCAGCCAUGCCGCGUGUCUGAAGAGGGCCUUCGGGUUGUAAAGUACUUUCUUCAGGGAAGCGUUACCUGCAGAAUAAGCACCGGCUAACUCCGUGCCAGCAGCCGCGGUAAUAC
rnacentral:rRNA from 1 species